rnacentral:lncRNA from 1 species
CCAGGCUAAUUUUUGUAUUUUUAGUAGAGACAGGGUUUCACCAUGUUGGCCAGGCUGGUCUCCAACUCCUGGCCUCAAGUCAUCCUCCCGCCUUAGCCUCCCAAAGUGCUGGAAUUACAGGCAUGAGCCACCACGCCCGGCCAUCUUCUUGCCAGCAACUCUUAGACCAGGAAGCCUCGGAUGGCAGCUAUGAAGUCCUGUGGGCGGUCAGCGUGGAUCCAGUGGCCAGCGUUCGGCACCGUCUGCAUCUGGGCCCGAGGGAAGAGCCGCAUAAUCUCAGGGUCCUGGCUCAUGAUCUCGUAGCUCAUGUCUGGGCUGUG